ACGGCGCAUGCGCGCAAGGCCCAUUCAUUCACACUGCGUAACAACAAGCCUGGUGGGGGGUGGGGAGAGUGGGGUCGCCCCGCGCCCCCCCUCCGGCGGCUGCUGACCCGCACUAGGGUUCCCUGGGGGGCGCUUCUGGCGGAUUUGAUCCCCUCCGGUUCAGGCAGCGCCGCCCCCCCCCCGGUGCAGGGGCCACACAGCGCAGCACCGGCGCUGCUCCGCGCCUCCGGCGGGGGCUGGCGCAGGCAGCCGGACGCCGAACUUGCGCAGGACUUCGGUGGCGCCCCGCUCCGCUCCCCACGGGGUGGCCGCUGCGCUCGGAGGCCCCUGCACGGCAGAGCCGGCGGGCGGGGGUCGCUCAGGGUCCCGCCGGCCCCCGCGACAGACACAUCGAUUGGGAAUUUGGGUCGCGCUGAGGCGACUCCCGGCCCUGGGCAGGAGCCCGCGAAUCGGGACCCCGCGGCUGGGUGGGGGAAGGAGCCGGCGGCCCCUGAGGCGGGGAGCCGAGCCAAGAGCCUCCCCCACCAGCGGCCCCUGCUCUCCUGCCCCGGCCCAGCCGCCCUCGCCCGGCCCGGCCCCUCUCGCCUCAGCCCAAAACUUUUCAGCACUUACCAAACCCGUCGCCAUUUCGAGAUUCCCCGCAGAUUCCCCCUCCUGUCGCUCCCCCCUCCAUGAAACCCCGCCCCUCCUCGAUGGGACUCGUCCUCAGUGGCUGGGGCAGACAGGACUCAAGGCACGGCCCCUUGCUAUUGGCCUUCUGGCCUGCCCGUCAGGAUUACACCCUAUAGGGCGGGCGUGUUUUGACUUUCCUGCGCGGACGAUUGCACAGAGCGGAACGUCAAUCACACUAAAGAGCACUUUCCGAUUGGUCAGUGGCGAUGUCCCUGCAUUCUGGGAAAUGUAGUUUCUUUUUCCAUCGUGGGCUAUUAAACGGGCAGCAGCUGGACAACAAGCCCCAAAAUGCGCCGCGAAGCGCUCAGCUGAUAGUAAACAAGAGUCAUAGGGACACGUGUAUUAUCUGCCCCUCUGGUUAACUUUACCCAGGAGACUUAGCGGGUGGCUCAAGCCUACGCAGAGAGAGACUAAGCAGAAGUUGCAGUGGCUCCUCUUCAGCCCAGUGGGCACCUAGGUCUAGUGCAGCCGGCCGCAGUGCUGCUCACUGCCUCCCAGGCUGGGGGGAGAGCAGGUUCAUGGGAGGCAGGCACAUGCUGCCUUGUCUUAUGGUGCCAAAUGGGAUGGGAGGGCCCUCGUGGAAAAAGUUGAGCACUGAGGCUCUAAACCCUCUCUCGGCUAUCAAAGAGAGGCGAGAACUAACUGCCACUGGAGUCGGAAUCCACAAAGGGACUGUGGCAUUGCAACGUGUUCUGUAACUUUUAGAUGUAUAAAACACAAAAGUCACAGGAACACCACUGCAAUCCCCAAAGCCUGCAUUAGGCAUCUAGGUUCCUUGUGCAAUAUAGGAGGAAAGAUAGAUGCCUAGCAUCUAAGACAGCCAUUUUAAGCUAGCUACUGGGAGAUGUACAUGAGAGCAUUGUGUUCUAAGUCCUAGCCCUCUCAUAAAGACAGGUGCCUCUGUCCAGGCUACAGGAGGCACCUAGCUCUGCUUAAUGAACCACAAAUGGGAACCCAGUGCCUGAACUCAGAUCCAUGUUGGCAGAAGCCCUUUAGAUGCAGAUUUCUCCAUUCUGCAUGUGCACCCUCUCCUCCACUCCUUCAGAUGCUGCAGAGGGCUCUGUAAGGUCAGCACUAAGUAGAAGAGAGAAUGAGUAAAAGGCCAGAUGUUCCAUCCAGUAGAGGGCAGUGGUUCACAAACAAACCG